rnacentral:rRNA from 1 species
AAUGAACGCUGGCGGCGCGCCUAAUACAUGCAAGUCGAGCGAGAAGACGUAGCAAUACGUUUGUAAAGCGGCGAACGGGUGAGGAAUACAUGGGUAACCUACCCUCGAGUGGGGAAGUAACUAGCCGAAAGGUUAGCUAAUACCGCGUACGCUCCUUGGACUUCGGUUCAGGGAGGGAAAGGACGAUACCGUGGGUAGUCGCGCUCUUGGUUGGGCGUCAUGUCCUAUCAGCUUGUUGGUGAGGAACGGCUCACCAAGGCUUCGACGGGUAGCUGGUCUGAGAGGACGAUCAGCCACACUGGCACUGCGACACGGGCCAGACUCCUACGGGAGGCAGCAGUAAGGAAUAUUGCGCAAUGGGCGAAAGCCUGACGCAGCGACGCCGCGUGGGGGAGU